rnacentral:sRNA from 1 species
UCGCUUUUGAUCAGAACCUGUCUCCUAUAUGCAUAUCUAUCAGAAUUAAAUAGGUGGUCAAAAACUGUCGACAAACUAAUGUAUGGGCCUGGUCGUAAAGUGCAGUCUAAAUUUCCAUUGUAGGGACCGUACAACUCUCGUCCUUGCCAGUACGUGUGCGUGAUCCAGGCAAUGUCAAGUACGCCCACCGCUUACUAUUGCUAAUAUUCACCCUUAACAUCCGCUAGCCCAGUCCGUAACAAUGCAAGAUAACUGCCACCAUUAACAGUCUACGAUUUCAGUCUGUAAGCAGAAUUAAAUUGAGUGCAUUCAACAACAACACAACAGAAAACGAAACGAAACGAAACCAAAAGUAAAUGCGAAAUACUACAAAAAUCUGUUACAAGUUCGAAUAAACCCGCAGCAAAGAUACUCCGAAAAUGAGGCGCACUCUUUGGCACAUGCUCACGGCCCAGCUCCUGCUCCUGGUACUCUGUUCGCUGCUCUCUCUCUGCUCCGGCGGCAAUAUGCAUCCUUUGAAAGUGGGCAAAAACUAUGCGUCGCUGCACAACCAGCCCAAGGACUUUCGCUCUUUAGUGAUGGAUAUUAGCAAGUUUGUUCUCACUAUUGUGAGCAGAACGCAAAGCAAAAGCUUUUUCCUCCAUCUAAUCUGUCCAAAGAUCUGACUAGUACCAUAUCUAUUACUAAGCUGGCGUCGAGAUUUGAAUUCCAAUCUGAGUCCUGCCCCCCAUUCAAUUCAGAGUUCCAAAAUUCUCCAUUAAAGACCGACAGAAAGGCCAGCGACCAGCAGAUCAGUGCAGAGACCGACAAUCAUUGCCAAAGCAACGCAAAGCCUGGCCUCGAACUGAAUUUACAAUAAAAAUUCUUAAUUCUUGGUACAAAAAUUUCUGUAUUUAGCUGAUGAAAAUAAUUU